GGGAACAAAGAACAGCCUGGAGUCGAACCCGGGUUUCACGGACGGAAGGCGCCGCAGACCAGCACGAGCUAAACCGGCAGGGCAAUGCCCCGUCAACAUCAAAAAAUGCUUUUGUUUGUGUUUGUAUUGUACAUAUCUGUUUUCUCUUUAUGUAAAAAUACUUGUUUUUUUCUUAUUUAGUCUAAAAUGUGUUUAUCUAAAAAGGUAAAAGGGGCAGAUAAAGAAGCUUUCUGCCUUCUGUUGCCCUUUACGUCCUCCUGUUUCAGAACUUUUGCUUCGAUUGAUUUGUGGAAAUGCAGAUUAUUGUGAUUUUGGAACAGAUUGAGAUGUCAAGUUUUUCAGUAAUAGCCGCCUCUUCACAAAUUAGCUCUGUAAAAGCUUCUGGACGAAAGCAGCCACCAAAAGAGCUAAACGAAAUGAGAUCAAAUAAACGCAUGGGUAGAAAAAAACCUGCACAUGUUUGGUUAACACCCAGCAGAUGCAAGCGUGCUGUAUGAUUACACCGUCUCAGCAUGGAUCCUAUACCCACACAGACAGGAAAGACAUGGCAGCUGUUAGCCAUCAGCACCAGCACACAGGAGGCCAUGAACUACAGGCCACGGGAGCGUCUGCACAAAUAAACACCAACGUGUGCCUGUGUUUGCAAAUGUACACUCCAAUGCAGCCGGAUGCACGGGGAAGCGCCUGGAGGCGGGAAUGCUCACAGCCUGCUGUUUAGCCCACCGCACGCCCCUGAAGGUUUCUGCCGAAGAACAUAAACAUCCUGAAAAUGACCUCUGCCCCUCCUCAUUGCGUCUCCUUGUGGGCGGGGCUUGUUUGUUUCCCGGUUGUUUUGAGGGCGACCCGUUAAGAACCAACACUUUCCUGACACCUCCUGGGCUGGUGUUCAGGGAAGACUUCAGUGUUUCCCUUUCUGUUGGGACUCUCCCUGGGCUGAUGGGUGGGGCUUUCAGGCAGCAGACUUGUGUGAAUGAUGUGGACUUCGCAGUCACAGCCUUGACUCAGUCCACACCCUCGACUUAAAGAGGAGUUGUUAGGAGGAGGAGCAAACUUAGCAAGCGCUCUGUGCUCCCUUUGAGCCGGGACUUGACUUGUGAGUCCUCCAUGAGCAACAUGUGUGCACGCUCUGGCCUGUGUUGACUCUGGGAAGAAUUCCCUGACUUUCGGAUCUCUGCAGUCUGGGCGAAUUCAGUCGUCAGGCUUUUUGAACAAAUCACAUUCUACUCAGAUUUGUGUGAUCUUUUUUCUGCUUCCCCAUCUCCUCUGCAUGUUUGGAUGAUGAUGAGAAAAACCAGCCUUGUGGUUGAGGUUAAGGCGUGACGUGGAGCAUCGGGAAAACCACAGUCUGUUGCAUUAGUGGGUAAGGCGCGGGGCUUUUCCUCCUUUCUGUACCAACUCAUUCAAGUGUUUUAAGAAGAUUAUCUGACGGCAAACAACUACAUUCAUGACAGACAUGUCUGCCUACUUUCAAAUUCUCAAACAAUUCAUGGCAGAAUAUGAGGGACAAAAUAAAAGAUGGAUAAUGAUGGCAAAACAAGUAGAUAAAUAGACAAAUUAAAAAAAACUACUUGCAGCAAGAAAGAAAAGAUGAUUGUAUUUUGACAAACAUUUUGCAUGAUUAUCUUGAGGAAUGAACAUUUACUUUUAUUAAAUAGUCGCAAAAAAUAUAUAUGCAAACAAAACAGAGUUUGAACAUGUUUAAGGGAGAAAAAAUAACCUUAAGAUACUUUUAGUAGUGGAAUUUAUUCAUUUUAUGGAGUUUUAAGGCUACCAUGAGAGAAAAAUUAAAUGAGAAAAAGGUAAAAAAAAAAGUCUAACUUAUACUAGAAUAAAGUCAUACAACAAUUACAUUUUAUGAA